rnacentral:rRNA from 1 species
GAUGAACGCUAGCGGCAGGCUUAACACAUGCAAGUCGAGGGGUAGAAGUUGCUUGCAACUUUGAGACCGGCGCACGGGUGCGUAACGCGUAUGCAAUCUACCUUAUACAGAGGGAUAGCCCAGAGAAAUUUGGAUUAAUACCUCAUAGUAUAAUUGAAUGGCAUCAUUUAAUUAUUAAAGUUCCAACGGUAUAAGAUGAGCAUGCGUCCUAUUAGCUAGAUGGUAAGGUAACGGCUUACCAUGGCAACGAUAGGUAGGGGUCCUGAGAGGGAGAUCCCCCACACUGGUACUGAGACACGGACCAGGUUCCUACGGGAGGCAGCAGUGAGGAAUAUUGGACAAUGGGCGCAAGCCUGAUCCAGCGAUGCCGCGUGCAGGAAGAAGCAUCUAUGGUGUGUAAACUGCUUUUGUACGGGAAGAAACACCCCUUCGUGAAGGGACUUGACGGUACCGUAAGAAUAAGGAUCGGCUAACUCCGUGCCAGCCGCCGCCGUAAUAC